rnacentral:rRNA from 1 species
AGGGUGACGAGGUGGUGCAUGGUUGUCGUCAGCUCGUGUCGUGAGAUGUUGGGUUAAGUCCCGCAACGAGCGCAACCCUCGCCUCUAGUUGCCAGCAUCGGUUGGGCACUCUAGAGGGACUGCCGGCGACAAGUCGGAGGAAGUGGGGAUGACGUCAAAUCAUCAUGCCCCUUAUGACCUGGGCUACACACGUGCUACAAUGGGCGGUACAAAGGGCUGCGAACCCGCGAGGGGGAGCGAAUCCCAAAAAGCCGCUCUCAGUUCGGAUUGCAGGCUGCAACUCGCCUGCAUGAAGCCGGAAUCGCUAGUAAUCGCGGAUCAGCAUGCCGCGGUGAAUACCGGUUCCCGGGCCUU